CCAACGGCCCUCUUUAGGGCCACAAUUGCAAUCGAGUUCGCGAAUU
rfam:Angiostrongylus costaricensis strain Costa Rica genome assembly, scaffold: ACOC_scaffold0000674